GUGUGUCUGCAGGACAGCGUGCUGGCCUUCUGGAGCCAUGGGAUGCAGGGCCGUAGCCUGGACACCAACGAGGUGACCCAGGAGAUCACAGACGAGACAAGGAUCUUCCGAGUACUUGGGGCCCACAGAGACAUCAUACUGGAGAGCAUUCCCACGGAGAACCCGGGGGCGCACAGCAACCUCUACAUUCUCACGGGCCAUCAGAGCAGUUACUGAGCACUGGGCCUGGCCAGUGGCAGCCCCCACCCGCCUGCAUGCCUUAGCAGAAGGGGCCCUUCCAGAUCAGAGGGGACCAGGCUCCAGUUCUGCUGGGCAGAAGGGCAGAAAUGAUCCUGAGAAGUGUUUUGGGGCUGGGGAGGGGAGGGGAGCCCACCCCCACCUCUGCAAUAACUGGACCACAGGAAGCUGCUGUCACCUCCCCCUCCCCUGGGGACAGCACAGUCCCUAGUGCCCCGUGGCAGGGGG